UGGGUUGUAGCUCAGUGAUAGAGCACUUAUCUAACAUGUGUGAGGCACUGGGCUUGAUUCUCAGCAGCACAU
rnacentral:tRNA from 1 species